UGCAGGUCGUACGCUUCUUUUUCCACCGGAGCUUGCUCCACCGGAAAAAGAAGAGUGGCGAACGGGUGAGUAACACGUGGGUAACCUGCCCAUCAGAAGGGGAUAACACUUGGAAACAGGUGCUAAUACCGUAUAACAAUCGAAACCGCAUGGUUUUGAUUUGAAAGGCGCUUUCGGGUGUCGCUGAUGGAUGGACCCGCGGUGCAUUAGCUAGUUGGUGAGGUAACGGCUCACCAAGGCCACGAUGCAUAGCCGACCUGAGAGGGUGAUCGGCCACAUUGGGACUGAGACACGGCCCAAACUCCUACGGGAGGCAGCAGUAGGGAAUCUUCGGCAAUGGACGAAAGUCUGACCGAGCAACGCCGCGUGAGUGAAGAAGGUUUUCGGAUCGUAAAACUCUGUUGUUAGAGAAGAACAAGGAUGAGAGUAACUGUUCAUCCCUUGACGGUAUCUAACCAGAAAGCCACGGCUAACUACGUGCCAGCAGCCGCGGUAAUACGUAGGUGGCAAGCGUUGUCCGGAUUUAUUGGGCGUAAAGCGAGCGCAGGCGGUUUCUUAAGUCUGAUGUGAAAGCCCCCGGCUCAACCGGGGAGGGUCAUUGGAAACUGGGAGACUUGAGUGCAGAAGAGGAGAGUGGAAUUCCAUGUGUAGCGGUGAAAUGCGUAGAUAUAUGGAGGAACACCAGUGGCGAAGGCGGCUCUCUGGUCUGUAACUGACGCUGAGGCUCGAAAGCGUGGGGAGCAAACAGGAUUAGAUACCCUGGUAGUCCACGCCGUAAACGAUGAGUGCUAAGUGUUGGGAGGGUUUCCGCCCUUCAGUGCUGCAGCUAACGCAUUAAGCACUCCGCCUGGGGAGUACGACCGCAAGGUUGAAACUCAAAGGAAUUGACGGGGGCCCGCACAAGCGGUGGAGCAUGUGGUUUAAUUCGAAGCAACGCGAAGAACCUUACCAGGUCUUGACAUCCUUUGACCACUCUAGAGAUAGAGCUUCCCCUUCGGGGGCAAAGUGACAGGUGGUGCAUGGUUGUCGUCAGCUCGUGUCGUGAGAUGUUGGGUUAAGUCCCGCAACGAGCGCAACCCUUAUUG
rnacentral:rRNA from 1 species